rfam:Triticum aestivum genome assembly, contig: Triticum_aestivum_CS42_TGACv1_scaffold_623935_7DS
AUCGUAUUACCUCCGUACCAAAUUAUUUGUCUUAGAUUUGUCUAGAUACGGAUAUAUCUAACACUAAAACAUGUCUAGAUACAUCCAUAUCUAAAAAAAAUUAAGACAAGUAAUUUGAGACGGAGGGAGUACUAA